rnacentral:rRNA from 1 species
UACGGAGGGUGCAAGCGUUAUCCGGAUUCACUGGGUUUAAAGGGUGCGUAGGUGGGCAGGUAAGUCCGUGGUGAAAUCCCUGAGCUUAACUCGGGAACUGCCAUGGAUACUAUUUGUCUUGAAUAUUGUGGAGGUAAGCGGAAUAUGUCAUGUAGCGGUGAAAUGCUUAGAUAUGACAUAGAACACCAAUUGCGAAGGCAGCUUACUACACAGUUAUUGACACUGAGGCACGAAAGCGUGGGGAGCGAACAGG